GAUGAACGCUGGCGGCGUGCCUAAUACAUGCAAGUCGAGCGAACGGACGAGAAGCUUGCUUCUCUGAUGUUAGCGGCGGACGGGUGAGUAACACGUGGAUAACCUACCUAUAAGACUGGGAUAACUUCGGGAAACCGUAGCUAAUACCGGAUAAUAUUUUGAAUCGCAUGGUUCAAAAGUGAAAGACGGUCUUGCUGUCACUUAUAGAUGGAUCCGCGCUGCAUUAGCUAGUUGGUAAGGUAACGGCUUACCAAGGCAACGAUGCAUAGCCGACCUGAGAGGGUGAUCGGCCACACUGGAACUGAGACACGGUCCAGACUCCUACGGGAGGCAGCAGUAGGGAAUCUUCCGCAAUGGGCGAAAGCCUGACGGAGCAACGCCGCGUGAGUGAUGAAGGUCUUCGGAUCGUAAAACUCUGUUAUUAGGGAAGAACAUAUGUGUAAGUAACUGUGCACAUCUUGACGGUACCUAAUCAGAAAGCCACGGCUAACUACGUA
rnacentral:rRNA from 1 species